rnacentral:rRNA from 1 species
CCUACGGGAGGCAGCAGUGGGGAAUAUUGCACAAUGGGGGAAACCCCGAUGCAGCGACGCCGCGUGAGUGAAGAAGUAUUUCGGUAUGUAAAGCUCUAUCAGCAGGGAAGAAAAUGACGGUACCUGAUUAAGAAGCCCCGGCUAACUACGUGCCAGCAGCCGCGGUAAUACGUAGGGGGCAAGCGUUAUCCGGAUUUAUUGGGUUUAAAGGGUGCGCAGGCGGUCUGUUAAGUCAGCGGUCAAAGCCCGGGGCUCAACCCCGGCCCGCCGUUGAAACUGGCAGUCUCGAGUUGGAGAGAAGUAUGCGGAAUGCGCGGUGUAGCGGUGAAAUGCAUAGAGAUCGCGCAGAACUCCGAUUGCGAAGGCAGCAUGCCGGCUCCACACUGACGCUGAGGCACGAAAGCGUGGGUAUCGAACAGGAUUAGAUACCCUGGUAGUC